UAAUUAGUCAAGUGUAUUAUAUUGUUGUAUUUGAUUGAUCUAAACCUUUUUGGCCAGUUUUAAAGCUCUUUAUAUAUUCGUCUAUCAAUGGCAAUUUUAAAGCUCUUUAGAUAUCCAUUGCUUAGUUUGGAAUAGUUCUAUGAACCAUGUUCACAACUCUUCACUUCACAGAGUGUGAAUGGAGCAUUCACUUUCAUUCAAGUGAUGAAGGUUAUAACAUAAUUCAGGCCAGGCUCUUUGUCUUUGAUUAGAUUGGUCACCUUUAUUUUGUUAUCAGUUUAAUCCAAUUUGUUAAAGAAUAAAAAUUUGUGUCAAAAGCUAAUCUGGUUUAUAGCUCAUAUGUUAUACAUUAAAAUAUUGUUGUUCUUGUAUUAUGCUAUUAUUAUCAUUUGAACAUAUGAUUGGCAUGGAGGUCCGUUUAGGAACAUCAAUGUUGGUAUUAUUACCUAUAUAUUCAUGCCGUGAAAUAAAGUUUCAUGUAGCUAGAUAUUGAAUCAGCACAUGCUAUCUUUUCCUGUUCUUUGUUAUUGCUCUUCACCUAACAAUUUUUCAUAUAAUUUUCUCGAAAUAUACUUUAAGUUUAUAUUUCAUGUACAUGUUUUAUCUGAAAGUGGAAAUGGUGGAUUGAUUUACCAUCUUCGCAUAUUUGGUAGGGACUAAUUCACUUGGCCACUUGGUUAGUGCUUGAUAGUUUGGUUUGUUCUACUUUUAGUUCAAUACAUGAAACGCAUGAGGAUGAUAGGAUUCAUGUGUAUUUAUAAAUGGAAUGUCAAAAAUAGCAUUCACAUAUAUAUGCUAUCUUUUAACAUAUAUAAUGUACUAUGAACGUGCUGGUGUGAUGACUACUUUUGAUUUCUUUUUUUUUUUUUUGUUUGCAGAUUGAAACUACCAAGCAGAACUAAGAGCAAAAUUUACUUUCCAUGAUUGCAGAAGACUAAGCUCCUCCUCCAUCACUUAAAUCGUUUUCCUUACCCAGCUCAACCAGUUCAAGCAAGGCAUUUGUAAAGACCAAGUAACAAUCAAAGCAUAGAAUUUGGACAAAGAUGUAUGAGGGAGUUGAAUCACUUAUUUACAUGUUCUUUUCUAUGGUAUCUUAGUCAUGCAGUUAUAAUAGCUACUACUAGCAGAAGAUGUUUCAGCAACCAAGUCAUAAACAAGUAGUGCCUUUUGACCGUCAUUUUGUAUGGUUAUCUUCGUGGAUGUAAUUUCAAUGAUAUUCAUUGUUCCUGAAUGCACAUACUGAAUAUAUAUGCUUCAAGUAGUAGGUAGUCUUUUAUGUUUGUUACUAUUUACUAAGGAUGGAACUUUUGCUUA